rnacentral:lncRNA from 1 species
GAUGUUGUCCCCUUAGAGUGCCAUCCUACCUGGAGACCGGGUGGUCAGAUGCUGCCCCAUGGGCUUCUGGGGGCACCAGAGAAAGGAGAGGGAGCAUGUGGGUCUCAUGAGUGGCAGGGCCAGGACCUUUCUGACCCCACUCCUCCUGCUGCUAGAGCCCAAGUUCGUCAAGGUCUUUUGGAUCCCAGAGAGCGAGAAUCCUGAUGAUGACAAGAUCUACUUCUUCUUCCGUGAGUCGGCAGUGGAGGCUUCGCCAUCACUGGGACGCCAGACUGUGUCCCGGGUUGGCCAGAUCUGUCGGGUGAGGAGUCCUUGGGCCACAUCCGAUGACUACAUCCCUGCCCUUUUGCCUGUCUGGGCCUCCCCCUCAUCCCUGCUGAUUGACCCUGCAGAAUGACGUGGGAGGCCAGCGAAGCCUUGUCAACAAGUGGACCACGUUCCUGAAGGCGCGUCUGGUGUGCUCAGUGCCAGGUGUCGAGGGUGACACACACUUCGACCACCUCCGUGAGUGCCAGGAGCAGAGGAUGGGGUUGGAGAGAGGGAGUGCAGGGGGCCAGACCCAGGAGCCGGGCUGCCCAGAGGGCUGUGUGCCCUCCCCCAACUAGGCUUCUUCCCCACAGAGGACAUGUUCCUGCUGUCCUUGAGGGACCGCUGGAGCCCACUGCUCUACGCUGUCUUCUCCACAUCAAGGUGAGGGGCAGAAGGUAGAGGGCAGGGCCCAAAGGGCUCUUCUGGGCCCCUCAGUCUGCUCAUGUCUUCGCCUGCAGCACCAUCUUCCAGGGCUCUGCAGUGUGUGUGUACAGCAUGAACGACGUGCGCCGGGCCUUCCUGGGGCCCUUUGCACACAAGGAAGGGCCCAUGCACCAGUGGGUGUCCUACCAGGGCCGUGUCCCCUACCCCCGGCCUGGCAUGGUGCGUAGCCCCAGGAGUCCCACCACAACCCACUUAAAGUCUCAGGGGUGGAAAACUUGGCCUGGGAUCUUCUUGGUGAAUGUGUUUUUUUCCUUCCGUUAUGGGUGGGAAAACAUCACCUUUGUCAGACAGGGCUCCUCAGAGGAAGGGCAUAUUUCCCCCUAAGAGUCCCAAGGGCAAGUCUGGGUCUUCUCUCUUCAGAUUCUCAGGGCAGACCUCUGUCCAUUAGCACUCCUCUAUACUCGGGUACCUGGAGGUCUCUUGUGGACCCACCAGGCCCUCGUACCCACAUCCCUGUCGUGCCUCCUCCCCACCUGCCCAGUGUCCCAGCAAGACCUUUGGCACCUUCAGUUCUACCAAGGACUUUCCUGAUGACGUCAUUCAAUUUGCCCGGAACCACCCCCUCAUGUACAAUUCGGUCCUGCCCAUGGGUGGUCGCCCUCUCUUCAUACAAGUGGAUGCCGGGUACACCUUCACCCAGAUCACUGC